rnacentral:antisense_RNA from 1 species
UUUAUAAGCAUGGAAAUCCCCUGAGUGAAACAACGAAUUGCUGUGUGUAGUCUUUGCCCAUCUCCCACGAUGGGCUUUUUUUUAU